UGGGGAAUAUUGGACAAUGGGCGCAAGCCUGAUCCAGCCAUGCCGCGUGAGUGACGAAGGCCUUAGGGUUGUAAAGCUCUUUUUGGCGGGGAAGAUAAUGACGGUACCCGCAGAAUAAGCUCCGGCUAACUUCGUGCCAGCAGCCGCGGUAAUACGAAGGGAGCUAGCGUUGUUCGGAAUCACUGGGCGUAAAGCGCACGUAGGUGGGCAGUUAAGUCAGGGGUGAAAGCCCGAGGCUCAACCUCGGAAUUGCCUCUGAUACUGGCUGUCUAGAGUUCGAGAGAGGUGAGUGGAAUUCCUAGUGUAGAGGUGAAAUUCGUAGAUAUUAGGAAGAACACCGGUGGCGAAGGCGGCUCACUGGCUCGAUACUGACACUGAGGUGCGAAAGCGUGGGGAGCAAACAGGAUUAGAUACCCCCGUAGUCCCUGAGCGGGCUGGCAAGGCGCAU
rnacentral:rRNA from 1 species